CGGGGACUGUGUCUGCCCACUCCAGUGUCUCCUCAAGGCCCAAGCCAGUGCCACACACACGGCCGGCACUCAGUAAGGUCCGUCAGGUCUCACUUAAAGCCCAUUGAGAAAGAUCAUCCCAGUCACAUCUCACUUCCUCUUGGUGCGGGGCCCUUGGACAUUACACUGCGUGUGGCAUGGAAGAAGUUGUCCUGCUGGUGUUGUGCUGUGAGGUGAUCAUUCUGUGUUGCCUCCCGCCACACCCCUGCCUGCCCAGCCUGAGGUCUGUGCUCCCUCUGAAGCCCUGAUGCAGAGUCCUGUAUGGAGUCCUGGGUGUGGCCAGGGAGUCAGUGAGAUGCCCAGAGCAAGGAGGGCUGAA